rnacentral:rRNA from 1 species
CCUACGGGAGGCAGCAGUGGGGAAUAUUGGACAAUGGGCGAAAGCCUGAUCCGGCCAUGCCGCGUGUGUGAAGAAGGCCUUCGGGUUGUAAAGCACUUUCAGUGGGGAAGAAAGCCUUGGGGCUAAUACCCUCGAGGAAGGACAUCACCCACAGAAGAAGCACCGGCUAACUCCGUGCCAGCAGCCGCGGUAAUACGGAGGGUGCGAGCGUUAAUCGGAAUUACUGGGCGUAAAGCGCGCGUAGGCGGUCUGAUAAGCCGGUUGUGAAAGCCCCGGGCUCAACCUGGGAACGGCAUCCGGAACUGUCAGGCUAGAGUGCAGGAGAGGAAGGUAGAAUUCCCGGUGUAGCGGUGAAAUGCGUAGAGAUCGGGAGGAAUACCAGUGGCGAAGGCGGCCUUCUGGACUGACACUGACGCUGAGGUGCGAAAGCGUGGGUAGCAAACAGGAUUAGAUACCCGAGUAGUC